CGCCGCACUCUGAAGGGGAAAUCAGAUAUACGGAGCGUUUCUGCCCGACGACCACCGAUCCAAUUCCCGUUUUUUCGCAAAAAAUGUCUCCGAGGCGAUGUUAAGAUUGCGAUUUCGCCAGAAGGAUGCUGUCAUAUCGCGAUCGGCUGUGGAGGGGGAGGGGCCGCGCAAUCACGCCCUACGUGAAAACACCGCCCCUGUUAAACACUGGGGGCGCUACAGCACCACCAGAGAAACACACAAGCAAUUUACAAACCACUUAAUUAACGUCUUCAGUUAUUUUUACAGUAACGCUGGGUUUAAUGUUUAAAACGUAAUACAUUAUAUUAAAAAUAUAUAUUAAACUGCAGCAUGCUCACUUUAACAUUAAGUAUAAUAUAAAUGUAUGAAUUUCCCCAAUGGGGAUCAAUAAAGUAUUGUACAUUAUUUUAUUAGUUGUCGUUAAUUAAUGCAAUACAUUUCACAGGAUAUCGAUGUUUUGAAAUAACUGUAUUUUUCUUUUUGCAUCACAAAGUUGGGUGUUGAUGCCCAGCAGGUGAGUCCAGCUAUACAUCAAAAACACUACAAGAAAACAUAGGCUGCCUGUAGUUUUUCCUUUUUCAAUCACUCUCUUUGGUCUGUGAUUAUAAAUUAUUAUUCUUUUCCAUAUUCUAUGACUUUGCUGUGAAAAUUGUAUAUAGGUAAAUCUUUACAAAAAUACACUUUAGCUUCACACUAUUAUUGGUGAUAAAGGACCGACUGAAAUUGGCAAUACUUCCUAAACGUUAGCUACCUUGUGAUGUGCACGUAUACUUUUUGCAGACUUCUGACAUGUUGAAGACGCUUCAGGUUUCUGUUAUCAAUGU